AGGCCGAAAAACAAAUAGAUAGCUUGCUAUCAGGCGUCGAGCGGCGGACGGGUGAGUAAUACUUAGGAAUCUACCUAGUAGGGGGGGAUAGCUCGGGGAAACUCGAAUUAAUACCGCAAACUUCCUACGGGAGAAAGCGGGGGAUCAUUAAACCUUGCGCUAUUAAAUGACCCUAAGUCGGAUUACCUAAAUGGUGGGGUAAAGGCCUACCAGGGCGACAAUCUGUAGCUGGUCUGAAAGGAUGAUCAGCCACACCGGGACUGAAACACGGCCCGGACUCCUACGGGAGGCAGCAGUGGGGAAUAUUGGACAAUGGGGGGAACCCUGAUCCACCCAUGCCGCGUGUGUGAAGAAGGCCUUUUGGUUGUAAAGCACUUUAACCAGUGAAAAAAACUCUUCGGUUAAUACCCGGGGACGAUGACUUUAUCUGCAAAAUAAGCACCGGCUAACUCUGUGCCACCACCCGCGGUAAUACAGAGGGUGCAAGCGUUAAUCGGAAUUACUGGGCGUAAAGCGAGCGUAGGUGGCUUGAUAAGUCAAAUGUGAAAUCCCCGGGCUUAACCUGGGAACUGCAUCUGAAACUGUUAGGCUAGAGUAGGUGAGAGGGAAGUAAAAUUUCAGGUGUAGCGGUGAAAUGCGUAGAUAUCUGAAGGAAUACCGAUGGCGAAGGCAGCUUCCUGCAUCAUACUGACACUGAGGCUCGAAAGCGUGGGUAGCAAACAGGAUUAGAUACCCUGGUAGUCCACGCCGUAAACGAUGUCUACUAGUCGUUGGGUCCCUUGAAGACUUAGUGACGCUCUAACGCAAUAAGUAACCGCCUGGGGAGUACGGCCGCAAGGUAAACUCAGAUGAAUUGACGGGGUCCCGCACAGCGCGCAGCAUGUGUUUAGUCGAUGCAUCGCGAAAA
rnacentral:rRNA from 1 species